rnacentral:rRNA from 1 species
AGUGAACGCUGGCGGUAGGCCUAACACAUGCAAGUCGAACGGCAGCACAGUAAGAGCUUGCUCUUACGGGUGGCGAGUGGCGGACGAGUGAGGAAUACAUCGGAAUCUACUUUUUCGUGGGGGAUAACGUAGGGAAACUUACGCUAAUACCGCAUACGACCUACGGGUGAAAGCAGGGGAUCUUCGGACCUUGCGCGAUUGAAUGAGCCGAUGUCGGAUUAGCUAGUUGGCGGGGUAGAGGCCCACCAAGGCGACGAUCCGUAGCUGGUCUGAGAGGAUGAUCAGCCACACUGGAACUGAGACACGGUCCAGACUCCUACGGGAGGCAGCAGUGGGGAAUAUUGGACAAUGGGCGCAAGCCUGAUCCAGCCAUACCGCGUGGGUGAAGAAGGCCUUCGGGUUGUAAAGCCCUUUUGUUGGGAAAGAAAAGCAGCAGGUUAAUACCCCGCUGUUCUGACGGUACCCAAAGAAUAAGCACCGGCUAACUUCGUG